ensembl:lncRNA
GACUCUAUCAGCAUCCAGAGGGGCUGUGCAGGAGCAGACACACCGUGGGUAUCUCCAUGGGACACUCCUGAGUGUCCUUCCAAGAAAGAGCUGAAGGAGGGACCACAACACCAGUUCCUCCCAACCCCACUGCCUUGUGCUUCUCUGCCCUGUGCCCCUAUUUCUAUUCCUCCCUCCUUGGGCUCAUUUCAUCUUCUCCCUGACCUAAGCCCUAGACCUGGGAUUGAGAGCUGUGGGUACAGACGGGCACAACUGAGCCCCGCUGGUCUUGCUGAAGUCUAAAGAGAAGAGUGACUGAGAGGAGCUGUCGUGUGUGACUGAGAGGAGCUGGCGUUAGUGACAGGAAUUCAUCCCCAAGAGUUUCUCUCGUGCAGUAUCACAGCAUCUGUGGUUAUAUGUUGGAAGGAAGAGAAUAAGACUCAGAGGGGUUGGAGGACAGAGCCACACAGCUAGUGAGCUCCAAUUUAGUCUGCUGGGUGCUUAGCCCAUGCUCAAAGCCACCAUCCAGGCAGGCUCCUAAGUCUUCAUUGGUGGUCGUUUGCAUUGCAAAACCUUGGAGUGAACUACAGCAAAACUCUUUGUUUUUGUAGGGAGUUAAAUUUUCUCGAUGUAUAAUAAGAAUCUCAGCUUUUAAUCAUAUUUUGUCCACUUUGGAAGAAAUAAUCUAAUUUGUUAUUAAACAGACACAUCUCCUGACUUUUGAUUGCAGGGUAUUAACUCAGCUUUCCUUUCUUUUUUUUUUUGAUGAUUUCGGGACAUUUGCGGGAGGGAGCAGUGACAGCCUCACUCCAGCUGUGUUGGUGCCAUCCCUUGGGAAAGCAGGCGGUUUCAGGAACUGGAAUCGUUGCUGGGAACAGGUGUUUAGGCCAAAGAAUUCCAAAGAGGCUGGCAUUGCUGCCUGCCCGGAUAGUGGACGGAAACAGGUGGAUGAAGGCCAGGUCGCCAGCGGGGAUUAAGACUCAUGAGAUCAAAGCCCAGGAAAGAGGCAGCAUUUCUCCCACAGGACUCUACCCGGCCAACCCGCAGCUCGGCUCAGCUCAGCAGCUCGCUAACUGUGAAACUCGGACGGGCAUCCUGUGAUCACUCCAACACUUUAAAUUCAUCAAAGCGCAGAGCGCUGUCUGGCCGCUGCCCAUGGCUCUGUUGUUCUGAGGGGCAAGGCCACAGUGACCUACAGCAGGGAAGAGACAAACACGGAUCUGGUGCAGAGAUUAUUCAGGUUAUGACAGGCAAGCAAGAAAGCAAGAGCGUUUCCUGCAUGGCCACAUCCGAUCCCUUUUAAGCCUGGGCUUCGCUCCCGAAUGAGUUCAGCAGGGGCAGCUGAUCGUUUUUAUUUUACAGGUACGGGACUCCCUCUGGGGUCUAACUGCCACACUCAGACACAGAACGGGCAGCAGAGGCAGGGUUUUCAGAGACAGACCUCCUCAGUCAAAUGCUGGCCACUUACCAGUCGGUAGCCUUGGAAAUGUUAUUUUGCCCCUUUAUGCCUCAGUUUCCUCAGAUGUAAAUGGAGAUAAUAAAUGCACCUAUCUUGAGGAAUAAAUAAAAUCACCCACAGGCCAGCUGUGACGGCUCAUGAUUGUCAUCUCAAUGCUCUGGGAGGCUGAGGAGGGAGGAUCUUUUGAGGUCAAGAGUUCAAGACCAGCCUGGGCAACAUAGCAAGACCCUGCGUCUACAAAAAUUAAACAACUUGCAGGGCUUGGUGGUGUGCACCUGUAGUCCUACCUACUUGGGAGGCUGAGGUGAGAGGACUGCUUGAGCCCAGAAGGUCAAGGCUGCAGUGAGCCAUGAUCGCGUCACUGCACUCUGGCCUAGAAGACAGAACGAGACUAUCUCAAAAAGUACAUAAAUAAAAUAGGUCAGGGGCAGUGGCUUACACCUGUAAUCCCAUCACUUUGGGAGGCCGAGGCGCGUGGAUCACCUGAGGUCAGGAGUUCGAGACCAGCCUGACCAAUAUGCAGAAGCCCCGUCUCUACUAAAAAUACAAAUUUAGCUGGGUACGGUAGUGCAUGUCUGUAGUCCCAGCUACUCAGGAGGCUGAGGCAGGAGAAUCACUUGAACCCAGGAGGCAGAGGUUGUGGUGAGCCAAGAUCACGCCAUUGCACUCCAGCCUGGGCAACAAGAGCAAAAAACUCUGUCUCAAAAAAUAAUAGUAAUAAAUAAAUAAAAAUAAAAUCACCCACAAAACAUGCUGAAAAGACACCUGGCCUGCCGGAAUCACUCGUGGAAGUUAGUCAUUGUUACAGGGGUGGCUACUAAUUUCACCUGUCCCCAGACACUGUGCACCCCACCAAGUGGUGGCUAGCAAUCCACUCAUGCUCUAUUCAAACGGUCAUCGCCAGACCCCCCAACUCCUACCCUAAAGCCCUGGUUUGCAAGGGCUGGGUAUGUUUGCUAGGAUUCUGCAAGAAUUCUGGUUCAAGGUUCAAAGGAACCAUUUAGGAGUCCAAUCGGACACCAUCACAACCCAAGGAUGGCCCUAGCCCCUCUGCGAGGGGUUUAACUCAGCAGCCCCCAAACCUGCAGAGGCGUGCAGGAGGCCCCAUCCCACCUGCGGGGACCCUGGCUGGGCCAGCCGUCCCUUCUUGUCAGUGGAUGGAACAAAGGCCUCUCGCCCUUUCUGUACCUGGGAAUCCAGGGCGGGUGGGGCAGGGAGUGG